rnacentral:rRNA from 1 species
CCCUUAGAUGUUCUGGGCUGCACGCGCGCUACACUGAUGCGCUCAACGAGUUUUAACCUUGCCUGGAAAGGUUGGGUAAUCUUUUUAAAACGCAUCGUGAUGGGGAUAGAUUAUUGCAAUUAUUAAUCUUCAACGAGGAAUUCCUAGUAAGCGCGAGUCAUCAGCUCGUGCUGAUUACGUCCCUGCCCUUUGUACACACCGCCCGUCGCUCCUACCGAUUGAAUGAUCCGAUGAAUAUCAUGGAUUGAGGAUGCAAGUAGGUUCACCUAUCUUCAUCUUCGAGAAGUGAAGUAAAUCUUAUCAUUUAGAGGAAGGAGAAGUCGUAACA